rnacentral:rRNA from 1 species
GAUGAACGCUGGCGGCGUGCCUAAUACAUGCAAGUCGAGCGAACGGACGAGAAGAUUGCUUCUCUGAUGUUAGCGGCGGACGGGUGAGUAACACGUGGAUAACCUACCUAUAAGACUGGGAUAACUUCGGGAAACCGGAGCUAAUACCGGAUGAUAUUUUGAACCGCAUGGUUCAAAAGUGAAAGACGGUCUUGCUGUCACUUAUAGAUGGAUCCGCGCUGCAUUAGCUAGUUGGUAAGGUAACGGCUUACCAAGGCAACGAUGCAUAGCCGACCUGAGAGGGUGAUCGGCCACACUGGAAGUGAGACACGGUCCAGACUCCUACGGGAGGCAGCAGUAGGGAAUCUUCCGCAAUGGGCGAAAGCCUGACGGAGCAACGCCGCGUGAGUGAUGAAGGUCUUCGGAUCGUAAAACUCUGUUAUUAGGGAAGAACAUAUGUGUAAGUAACUGUGCACAUCUUGACGGUACCUAAUCAGAAAGCCACGGCUAACUACGUG